GCACUGAGUUAGUUGGCUGUUCCUCACGAGAGAUAAGAUCGUCCUUUCGAAAAAGGAGUUUCCUCCCGGGCAACAAGUAGUUUACACCCCGAAAGGCGUCAUCCUACACGCGGCGUUCGCUGCGUCAGACUUUCGUCCAUUGCGCAAUAUUCCCCA
rnacentral:rRNA from 1 species